GGCGGGCUCCGCGUGGCUCCUCAGGAAAGGCCCAGAUGGGAGGAGCCUAGGAGAGGAGGAGACGGGACGGGGAGGAGCCUUAAAGGGUAAUACAAUAUGUACUGUGCAUAUUUGCGGUGAUCAAAAGCACACCUGCUGCGGAAAAAAAUGGUGCUGGAACUCACCAUGAAUGCCUCCCUUGUUCUCUUAGAUUGGCAAUGUCACCUACCUGAGAGGUGCCAGAACUGAGUUCUGGCAAGUUCUGACUGAAAAAAGCCCUGGGUUUAAACUGAACUUGCACCAGGUGGCCUUCAAAUGGAGAACACUUUGGAAUAACAGACUGCCCUGUAAAAAGUCCUGGGUUAUGGUCUUGAAGGCACAUGAGACCAGCAUCUUGCUGAAGUUAAGCAGGUCUGGGUCUGAUCAAAAUCUGAAUAGAAGACUAUCUGGGAACUACACAUACAUCACCUUGAGUUCCAUGAUUGAAGAAAAAGGGUUGUCUCAUGACCCAGAAAGGCUGUCGGGCCAACAGCAGCAGAGGGGCAGAUAAUGUCAGCGUCUUAGUGAGCAUCUCACAUAACCAAAGAGGUCACCCUGGUGACCUCCUCCCCCCCCCUUUUCUACAGAGAGGAAAAAGUCAAGAGAAAAAGCCAAUAUCUUCUGUUACGAGGGUCCAACAAAACAUACCUGUCUUUUUGGAUGGCCACAUUCUCAGUUUGGAUGAUGGGGAAACAGGGAGGGGUGUUCAGGCAGAAAGGAGACCCCACAAAGGGCCAAGUGACCACUGCUAUUGAGUGACCAGAUGGGUGUCCGGAGUUCCUUGUGUGAGUCCCUUGUCUUUUCCUUUUACGGCGGUGAGGCUUUGAGGCCUAGACCCCUCGGGGCAGCCUUUUGUAAUUGCCAUGCUUAUCUGCCCUCCCUGGUUUUGUGAUCCCGCCUGUCCUUCUCCCUCAGGUGGUUCCCAUGAUGGCGUGGACCGUCAAGGAGGAAUAAAGCUCCCUUUCAGCAAUUGCUGGUGAAGGCUUUGGGAAACUCCCGGGGAGAGAUGCAAGGCAGAUCCUUGUGAAAUGCAGAGACAAAGCCACCUUGUUUCAAGAAGUUUACAAAGGGAGCCCAUCUCCUCCUGGGAAGUUUUCAUCCAAAGGCUCUCGACCUCAGCACAAAGGGAGUCUUCUCGGCCAAGCUGGGUGUAUGUAUUUAAUAAACCUACUAGUAGCAGGCAAGGGGCCACAGAUGGUUUUUGGAGAUGCUGUAUGUGUUUUUGUCUCUGUUGUUCUGAACAUUUUGUAUUUAAGAACAGAAGAAGAGCUUGGUAGCUGGAUCAUGCCAAAGGCCCAUCUAGUCCACCACCCUGUACAGACAGUGGCCAAGCAGAUGCCCCAGUGGGAAUCUCACAAGCAAGACCUGGUUCCAACAGUGCUGUCCCCACUAGCAAUUCCUGCAGCAGUAUGACUAGCCCAGAAAUGGAAGCAAGAUGAAGUGCCAUCGAAAGAAGAGCAGCAAGCGAAACUGAUGGACUAUGGGGAGUUGAAACUGACGGGAAAGAUCCGAAACCAGGAAGAUCAAGCAUUUGAAAAGGACUGGAACAAAUUUGUACUUUAUUUAAAAGAUCACUGUAAAAAUUUAAAGACACUGGCAGGAAUGUGAAGAUACUUGUAAUGUGAAAUUCUGCUAUAUUUUACUUAUGAUUUAUAUAAUGAUUUGGAAAAUGUAAAAGGUGCAGUUAAUUAUGGAAUAAAGAAAAAAACCCAUGGAGGGGUGGAGGAAAGUUCAAGGGUUCAAAAGAACUUAUUAAGUAGAGGUGAAAAAUGAAUAUUGUGAGGAUAUUAAAAAUGUGGAAAAUCAAUUAAAAAAUUAUUAUAACGAAAUAAAAGAGUUAACUUCA